rnacentral:rRNA from 1 species
GAUGAACGCUGGCGGCGUGCCUAAUACAUGCAAGUCGAGCGAAAGGACGAGAAGCUUGCUUCUCUGAUGUUAUCGGCGGACGGGUGAGUAACAUGGGGAUAACCUAACUAUCCGACUGGGAUAACUUCGGGAAACCGUAGCUAAUACCGGAUAAUAUUUUGAACUGCAUUGUUCAAACGUGAAAGACGGUAUUGCUGUCACUUAUAGAUGGAUCAGCCCUGCAUUAGCUAGUUGGUAAGGUAACUGCUUACCAACGCAACGAUGCAAACCCGCCCUGAAAGGGAGAUUGCCUACACGGGCACUGAGAAUGAGUCGAGACACUGACAGGAAGAAGCAGUAGGGACUCUUACGCAAUGCGCGAGAGCCUGACGGAGCAACGCCGCGUGAGUGAUGAAGGUCUUCGGCUGGGAAAACUAUGUAAGUCUGGAAGAAGAUAUGUGUAAGUAACUGUGAACAUAUUGACGGUACCUAAUCAGAAAGCCACGGCUAACUACGUG